UGGUGGCGAGUGGCGAACGGGUGANUAAUACAUCGGAACGUGUCCUGUAGUGGGGGAUAGCCCGGCGAAAGCCGGAUUAAUACCGCAUACGCUCUACGGAGGAAAGGGGGGGAUCUUAGGACCUCCCGCUACAGGGGCGGCCGAUGGCAGAUUAGCUAGUUGGUGGGGUAAAGGCCUACCAAGGCGACGAUCUGUAGCUGGUCUGAGAGGACGACCAGCCACACUGGGACUGAGACACGGCCCAGACUCCUACGGGAGGCAGCAGUGGGGAAUUUUGGACAAUGGGGGAAACCCUGAUCCAGCAAUGCCGCGUGUGUGAAGAAGGCCUUCGGGUUGUAAAGCACUUUUGUCCGGAAAGAAAACCUCUGGGUUAAUACCCCGGGGGGAUGACGGUACCGGAAGAAUAAGCACCGGCUAACUACGUGCCAGCAGCCGCGGUAAUACGUAGGGUGCAAGCGUUAAUCGGAAUUACUGGGCGUAAAGCGUGCGCAGGCGGUCCGCUAAGACAGAUGUGAAAUCCCCGGGCUUAACCUGGGAACUGCAUUUGUGACUGGCGGGCUAGAGUAUGGCAGAGGGGGGUAGAAUUCCACGUGUAGCAGUGAAAUGCGUAGAGAUGUGGAGGAAUACCGAUGGCGAAGGCAGCCCCCUGGGCCNAUACUGACGCUCAUGCAC
rnacentral:rRNA from 1 species